rnacentral:rRNA from 1 species
UACGGAGGGGGUUAGCGUUGUUCGGAAUGACUGGGCGUAAAGCGCGUGUAGGCGGCCCUGCAAGUCGGGUGUGAAAUCCCACGGCUCAACCGUGGAAGUGCACUCGAAACUGCAGGGCUAGAGUCCUGGAGAGGAAGGUGGAAUGCUUGGUGUAGAGGUGAAAUUCGUAGAUAUCAAGCGGAACACCGGUGGCGAAGGCGGGUCUCUGGGCCGUAACUGACGCUGAGGCGCGACAGCGUGGGGAGCAAACAGG